rnacentral:rRNA from 1 species
CCUACGGGUGGCUGCAGUAGGGAAUAUUGCUCAAUGGGGGAAACACUGAAGCAGCAAAGCCGCGUGGAGGAUGAAGGUUUUGGGAUUGUAAACUCCUUUUGUUAGAGAAGAUUAUAACGGUAUCUGACGAAUAAGCACCGGCUAACUCCGUGCCAGCAGCCGCGGUAAUGCGGAGGGUGCAAGCGUUACUCGGAAUCACUGGGCGUAAAGCGUGCGUAGGCGGGGUAAUAAGUCAGAUGUGAAAUGCUGUAGCUUAAAUACAGAACUGCAGUUGAAACUGUUACUCUGGAGUGUGGGAGAGGUAUGUGGAAUUCUUGGUGUAGGGGUGAAAUGCGUAGAGAUCAAGAGGAAUACUGAUUGCGAAGGCGACCUGCUGGAACAUUACUGACGCUGAGGCACGAAAGCGUGGGGAGCGAACAGGAUUAGAUACCCUUGUAGUC